rnacentral:rRNA from 1 species
AAUGCCGGAUGCUCCAGUUGACCGCAUGGUCCUCUGGGAAAGCUUUUGCGGUAUGGGAUGGGGUCGCGUCCUAUCAGCUUGAUGGCGGGGUAACGGCCCACCAUGGCUUCGACGGGUAGCCGGCCUGAGAGGGCGACCGGCCACAUUGGGACUGAGAUACGGCCCAGACUCCUACGGGAGGCAGCAGUGGGGAAUAUUGCACAAUGGGCGCAAGCCUGAUGCAGCGACGCCGCGUGCGGGAUGACGGCCUUCGGGUUGUAAACCGCUUUUGACUGGGAGCAAGCCCUUCGGGGUGAGUGUACCUUUCGAAUAAGCACCGGCUAACUACGUGCCAGCAGCCGCGGUAAUACGUAGGGUGCAAGCGUUAUCCGGAAUUAUUGGGCGUAAAGGGCUCGUAGGCGGUUCGUCGCGUCCGGUGUGAAAGUCCAUCGCUUAACGGUGGAUCCGCGCCGGGUACGGGCGGGCUUGAGUGCGGUAGGGGAGACUGGAAUUCCCGGUGUAACGGUGGAAUGUGUAGAUAUCGGAA